GAAAUCAGUAGUAAAAUAUAGAGCAGUAAAGACCAUCAGUAAGAAAAGUAGUCAAGGUCAGGGCCAAAGUAUGUGCUAGAGUGAAAUGUUUAAAAUUUCCAAUGAGUCUUUAAUUAGGCUUUUAUAAAAUAGCCUGCUGUUAAACUGUUUUGUGUGUUUUCCAUGCAUAAUUUACUCCCAUGCAUUUUUAAUUCUCUCAGAGAUCAAGCUAUUCUCUGGAAAAGUGUUAACUUCCUGGAGAGGUAGCACAAACAUUGUUAUGUUUUGUUAAUUUUUCAUCUCAUGUAUUUAAUAAACUGUUUGACGGUUAGAAUCUGCAAGAAAGGCCAUCUCCUAUUUUGGUUCUAAAACUGACUCUUGUGCUGACUUCCAUUUAGUCUGAUGAAAUUGAGAGAACAAUGCCAGACUGAUUAAUUUUGUUUUUAAGUGUUGUGAGGACAAUUGAGCUGUGAGUAGUUGACAUUUUAAACUGGCAAACAGCUUGAGCACUUAAGCACAGUUCUAGGUAAAUAAGCUAUAUAUACUUACAUGUGUAUAUGUAAGUGUGAUUGCUUAAAGGUAUACAUUUAAGAUUCCACGUGAUCAAUACUAGGCAGAAGCUGUUUGAGGACCAGAGGCAAGACUUAUGUGCUGAAUGAGUUGGGGAAAAAAAUUGGAUCAAAGAAAGACACUCAUAUUUAAUCAAGACUUGAAAUCUGGCAACUCUCCUAGGAGAAUAAAAUACUAUUGGAUUGCACUUAUUUGUGGACAUUUUUUUCUUGCCUUCUACAUUGCCCUUUAAGCAUAGUAAUCAUGAUUUGUUCAUCUUUGUACUCCCCAAACAGUAAGCAUAAUAGUAGAUACUCAGUAGAUAAUUUACUCCUUCCUUACCCAUUUGUUCAUUCACGAACGCAGAUGAUGCUUGGGAAAUAUUAAAGCAGCAAUCUAGCAGAGGGCAUCGCUGUGAUUCCCUCUGGUUUCUUCUACUAGGGAGUAUGCAGCUUUUCACCACAUUUCAAAGACAAGUGGUCUGCAUAGAGAGGAAGCACGUGAUUAGCUGUGUCUUUGUUCAGUUGGCUAAUCAGGUCAGAGCUGUUGGUCCAUCUGUGAAUAAGCCAGUUAGUGUUUCUCCACUCCUAGCCACAGAUUUGCACCUUGAACCUUUGCCAGCUGUUUCCUAAGUGCAUGCCAUUGGAUGUGAGGGAGGCCAGAAAAGAGUGCACAUGGAUCAGCUUAAAAUCAUCACAACUUUUAAAAACAAAACAAAGCUUAAAGUAUGAAUCCCGUAAUGGCAGAUCAGAAGCUUUAUCCUUGUAUAUUCAAAGGUCAGUAUAUUGGUGCCAUAUGUUCUGGUGUCAAUGUAAACACUACAUGGAUAGGGACAAAACUUUUGGAGCUGUGACAAAUGAGUAUUGGCACUUUUGUUAUCAUUUUUACUUAAAACAUUAAAUUUCUUCUGGUAAGUUAGUAUAACCCUUCCUAGAAAAUACUGGGCAGGAUGUGGAUGGUCUCAUUGAUUCAGAAAAGAGUUCUACAUGAGCAAUAUGCCUCAUGUUUUAAUAGAUGACAUAAUUUAAGAACAUUCUUGGUUGUCUAGCUACAACUCCCUUGCCUUGGGACUUGGGUCCUUGUUCUUUGAAGACUUAUAGGACUCAAAUGAGGUUUCACUAACAAACCAGUAAUAAUACCUCUUAUUUGCUUUAUAUUUUUACUUUUACUUAACAUUCACCUGUAAUCAUUUGCAUUAUUUCAAAUGAGUCUCAAAAUAACCUUAUAAUGUAAGUUGUACAUUAUUCUUCAGGUUUACUAUUUAAUUGUCUGACAACCUUUUCUUAUCUGACCAUUAGUGACUUCAGGAACUCUGGGAAGAAUAGUUGACUAUAAAGUAAAAAAAAAAAAGUAUAGUCCUAUACUGACAAAAUUAUUUCUUUUGUAAGAUGCUACAUUCUCCUAUCAGAAUGAACAUUUAGGUGAAACUUCAUUCUCCGAGUUAAAAAAAAAUAUUACUGAAACAGAUUGCUCCCUUCUAGAGGAUCUAAGGAAAAAAAGUAGAAAAACUCCCUUCAGCCAACAUCUCUGGAUAUUUGAAUAGACAAGGAAGAACUGUAGCUUUUUUUUUUUUUUUCAGCUAAAUUUUCCUAAGAACACUCUGCUCCAACAUAAGAAUGCCAGUGGAAUAGGAGAUGGUAACACAAGAUGCACCAGGAGACUCGAGGUUUUGUGUGUUUGAAACUUAUAUUCUACUAUAAUGACUAAAUUGUAGAGAAGCAAAACUAAUGUGUGUGUGUUGUUUUAAGUUUGCUCAAUGUUUUUUUGGUUCUGUCUUCUAGGAGCACGCAAAAUUCUUUUGUUUUUUGUUUGCUUGUUUGUUUUUAAAAGUUCACUCUUAAAUUUAUAAAACAAUAUAAGGCAAGGAAAAUUAAAGUUAUACUACAUCAAAACAAUAUAUUUGCUCAACAUAGUAAUACUAAAGGCAUAUAAAGGUAUAAAGUGGUAUACAGUGUUUUUUCACAUAAUUUAUUUAAAUUGGUAAGACUAGUCUUUCAAUUUUUAAUUUCACUAUAAACAAAAGUGAGGUAAAUACAAUGAUUGUUAUCAACUGAAUACUAGAUGAGGUCUCAAUAUUUAAAAAAAAAACAUAGAUCUCUUCUUAUAAACUUGCGUUUGAUUUUAAUUCAAGAAUAAUUAUGCUGGGUUCUUAUGUAUGACUGGACAAAAAAACAUGUGGUUGUGUGUUUUGGCAUAUGUUCUUCCAGAUUUUUCAGUGAUAGUCAUGAUAACCAACAAAGGAAAGUUAGACUGGAAAGCCUUUUUCUGUAGGAGAUUCUAGUCAUCACCCUAAGAAUAAUUCCAACACCUAGUGGUUACUUUUACUUGAAGACUUUAUGUAUAUAUACAUGUCAAUGACUUUAAGUGAUGGAGAAUAGGGACGUGGAAUUCUGAAGAAUAAACUUUUGGAACAGAUACCUGCACAAUAUCAUACUUCUUUUUAGCUCCACUACUGUUACCAGAAAAACAUUUGGGUAAGUAAAAAUGAAAUUAGCAAAAACAUAAUAUUUUUAUAACAGGCAGUUUUUUUCUAUGUUCAUGUUUAUAACUUUCCCUGAGAGCAGAAUUAAAAUUGUAAACCAUAGCUUUAAUGUAUAUUAUGAACAUAAAGGAAAAGAAUGUGUUCAUGCACGCGCGCGCACACGCACACUUGUAGGAAAGACUAGAUUUUAGUAUCAAACAGAGAUGUGGGUGUUGUGCAAUCAACAAAACACUGUUGUGCAAUAAUUAAAGAAUUUUUAAACUGAAGAUUAAAUUGGAAUGUUGUUAUAAACAUAAGGAAAAUGGCCAACAUUUUUCUUUGUAUCAAAAGAAAACUCAUUUCUAAAAAUAAGCACCCUCUUUGUGAUGACCCUUUAAAAUAGUUUUAAGUGAUUCCAUUCAUAGAUGGGCGUUUAGGUCUGUAGCACUUUGCUAUAAGUGGCUUGCUCUUUGAUCUUGUAGCCUUUAAUCAGGUGUGUAUCCAGACGAGGCGAGCAUUGGCAUGGCUGUUCACCAGCCAGACUCCGCACCUCUGGAAGCAAACGUGGUGGGACUAAAACAUGCUGCUGGGGGCUGAGAGCUUUCCUUUAGUGUAUGAAUUUAAGGAAAUUUUGGUUAAAGCUAUUUCUCAUUGCUAAACUUCAUUUUAUCAAAUCAAGGUCAACGUGGACCUUUAUAAAGUUACCAAAUUAAAAAAAGACCUUGAUAAAAUUUUUUUUAAACAAAAAAAGUGUUUUUAUUAUCUUCCAUGUUCAUAUUACUUUCCCCAAAAUGAGAAUGGAGUAAAAAGGAAGAAUCGAGAAUGCUACCUUUUCUUUUAAGUGUUAUUGACCUUCAGCGGUCAAUUACUUUGAAAUGUAAAAUUGAUUUAGUAUAAUCUUAAUGUCCCAAGUUUUUAAAGAGUGUCUUGGAUAGUGCCUUUAGAAAUAGAAAAACCCAAGAAUUAUUCUACUCUGUUCCACCUCCCACUCCCAGUCGAAUCCACAUUUCUUAAUAUUACUAAUUCUCUCAUUUAGACAGCAGACCCUUCAUCUUUUUCUUCCCUGUCCUUUUGCUCCCACUGUCUAAACAUUAUCUUCCCCUAACAAUAACUUAGUGCUUAAGAACUAGGUUUGAAUUCUUUGCCAGUUAUAAAUUUUGUGGCAUUGGUCAAGUCACUUAACCUCUAUAAAGACUGUUUUCAAUACUUAUUUUGUAGGUUAAUAGGGCUAAAUGAAACAAUUCAGGCCUGCACUCAGUACCACUCUUCCCCCUUCCCCUCCUUGCCUUCCCCUCCCUACCUUCCCCUGGACUCCUCUCUCCACCUUCCUUUUUCUUCCUCCCCAUCCCCUACCUUCUUCCUUUUCCUCUUCUUUGAGUAAGUUCUUGGCACAGGGUGAGACUCUGUAAAUGCUCGUUUUCAUUGUUAUAAAACGGCCUCCUCCUCUCCAUGAAUCAAGCCCUGGAAUCAUUUCUCCCUUGGAAUACUAAAUUUAUUUAAUGGGUCUGCCAUACCCUGUUUAGCUCUGUCCUUCACAUUAAAGCUCUGUACCCACUGACUUAUUUUGUAAAGUAUAGUUUUUAAAUCAAAUCAUGCAUUUGGGAUUGGGAAAUGAAGUAUUGUAAAAACCACUGUUAAUAGCUAUUAUGCUUUUGCUGUCUAAUCAUAUCCUGCCUUCAUGUAGAUGCUUCAUAUAGUUGGUGUCUUCAAUAGACUUAUUUUGAAGAUUUUUAAAUGACUUUGGGAACAUAUAUAAACUGUUUAUCUUAAAUAGACUACUGUGUGCCAGGUGCUGUGACUUAAAUGCUCUUUAUGAACAUUAUCCUAUUUAAUUCACAGUAACCUCUGAGAUGUCUCCUAUUAUUACUACCCAUUUUACAGAGAGGGAAACAGAUUUAUGCACAAGGUCAGAUAGCUAUAAAUAGGAGAGAAGAAUUUGAACUCGGUCUGAUUCCAGAGCCUGUGCUUCUAAACACUAGUCUAUACUGCCCGCCUGCUUCCAGAAAUAAUUAAAUAAUUUAGUAAAGUGCAUCUUUAACCUAGAAUUCUCUUACUAAUUAAGUUAAAAUGAAGAAUAAUUCCUGGAAAUACAACUUUGAAAAGGAAAAAUAAAUUCCAUUCUAAUAAAUAGUAAUGGAAAAUAAAUCCUACCAUUGACUUUUCAUCUUUUUUCAUGGCUAGUCAAUAAGAUUUUCUCAUUCAUCAAUUAUGUAAAAAACGGAAACGUAUCUGAAGGAUGGCAUCUGAAUUGAGACAGAAUUAUGACUUAUGAGAAAUAGUUGAAGAAUUUGGAGAAACUUAGCCUUGAGAAAUCUGGGAGAAAUUAAAACUUUCCAAAUAUUUGAAUAGCUUGCAUGUAAAGGAGGGAUUAAAUAUACUCUGUGUGGCCCAAGAGGAUAGAAUUAGAACCAUUUGUUGGAAGCAAUUAGAUGAGAGCUUUCUAACAAUUAGAACUGGAAACACUUUUACUAAUCACAGUUUAACUAUUUCUACUCAUCUUGCGCAGAGAUCUCACACUUUUAGAGAAAAGAAAGGUUGCUCAGUUUGGGGAUAACAUCAGAGACCUUCAAGUGUGCCUCUGAGAUAGGCUAUAAUAUGAAAAAGAUGAUUUUUUAAAAAGUCAGAUUAUAAAUUCAAUACAUAAAAAAUCAGGAUUCCAUAAAACUAGAAACCUGCCCUUUAAUCCCACCAUCCAGGGACAGUAAUUUGUUAUAUUAAUAAUAUCUGUCUUUUAUGAUUAUAAAAAUAAUAUAGAAAAUUUAAAUGCAGAAAAGCAUAAAAAAAUAAGAAAAGUUAAAGACGGUAAAAAAUCUAUAAUUCUAUUUACAUUUUGAUGUAUUUUUUCUAGUCCUUUAUAUUUUUAUAUUUAAUUUUAUUUAUAUUUUUAAUGAAACUUACAAUUUACAAAGUUUUGUAGGCCAUUCUUUUCAUAUAACAUUAUAUUAUAGACAUUACCUUAUUAUUUUUUAGAUAUUUCAAGUAUGUAAUGUUUAAUAGAGACUUAUGGCUCCAUUUUAUGAAUGUUCCAUGAUUUAGUUAACCAAUUUCCUAUUUACAAAUAAUAACAUAUGCAGUGGUUUCUUACUAUAGGUAACACUGCAAUGAAUAUCUUUAUAUAUUAGAUAUCCAAAUGCUAAUUGUGUUCUUAGAUUUCUAGAAGUGGAAUUAAUGCUCUCAAAGUUCCUGCUAUGUGUAGCCAAACUGACCUCUGAAAACCAUGUACCAACUUACUUUCUCACUAUCAAUAAAUGAGAUUAGACUUUGGUUUUUAACAAUUUAGUAAAAUAGUUGGUAGGCAAUUUUUAUUUUAAUUUGUAUUUCUUUAAAUAAAAUUGAUAUUCUAUAUUGAUUCAUAUGUCUAAUGGCUAAUUACAAUUUUUUGACGUACAUAUUCAUUUCUUCCUCCAUAAAUUUUAAGAAUUUAUUUAUACAAAUGCUUUAUGUAUUAAAAACAUUAAACCGUUAUGUUUUUUUGAAUGCCAUUAAGUAUAUUUAUAUACACUUAAUUUCUUCCAUUGCUAUUCUUUUAAAAAAAUCCUUUACAUAUUUUCAGUUAGACACUUUAUAUCAGUCACAGUUCAAUCAGAGAAGCAGAACCACUAGGAGGUGUACACACACACACACACACACACACACACACACACACACACACACACACACAGAUUUGGUCUUAUACAAUUGUAGAUUAAGUACUGUCUGCAAGGCUGCAUUCUUUUAGUCUAAUGCUGUAGCUUGAAGUCCAGAGGGCAAGCAAUUGGGAAGGAAAGUUAGAGGAGAAGUGGAAAAAGUAAAGACAAGACGGAACUACAAGCUCUCUAGGUCCCACAGGGAUGGAGUGAAACGAGUCCCUGUUCUUGUUGCCUCUGCCCUUGGUGGGUGUCUGCCUUUGAUCAUAGGGUCAAAUACACACCUGGCUCGAGAGUCAGAGAAGCUGAAGGAAGAUUCAGGGGAAAGCAGAGCAUUGCUGGCCUGGACACUGCAUCACACCAAGAGAUGAAGCUCCAGAUCAGUGACCAUGUGUACAAGCUACAGAAUGGCUGCUGCUUCACUGUCAAUCCUCAAAUCACCCAUAAGAAUCUCUCUUGUCCACUCUUAUGAGAAAUAGAAAGGAAAGUUGACAGAUUACAAAGCCACCUACAUCUAAUUUAGGAAGAAAUGGUAUGUUGGCAAAAUUUGGCUGUUCAUUCAGGACCAUGGCACGUUUCUACAUUUAAAUCUGAUUUUAUAUAAAGAAAGAGCUAUAAUUUUGUCAAAUGAGCCCUUCACAAUUUCUAUUAGAAUUAUUUUAUAUUUCUUGUUUUUAGAGCAAAUGGAAUCAUUCUUCCCAAUUACUUUUUUAGCUGAUAGGAAAAAAUCUAUUUUAGAUUAUUUAUCUUCUACUUUACCAAAAGCCUAUUAAUUUUAGAACUUUAUAAGGUUGAUUUUCACUAGUUUUCUAACCAUAUAAUUGUAUUAUCUGCACCCAAUAGCAUUUAAUCCUUCUUUCUAACUCUAUUUCCAUUUCAUCUCAUUGUUCUGGAAUUUUUUUCUUUUUCUUUUUUUUUAAAUUUUAUUUAUUUCUUUAUUUGUGGUGACAUUGGUUAACGAAAUCCAAUAAGUUUCAUCUGUAUACUUUAACAGUAAGGCAUAUAUAUAUUUACAUUGUGUGUUCAUGGAAUUUCUGAUUGCUACAAUGUUAACCAAUAGUGAUGAUAAUUGGCAUGCUUUCAGUUUACGAUAUGUAUUUUUAAUCUUGAACAGCUACUUUCAUUUUUGCUUGUCUGUUCAUUUCUAAAAUCAGUAGUAUGUAUGAAAUGUCAUUUGACAUCUACUGACAUGUGUGGUAGAAUACAUUAAUAAAAUUUUCAAAAUUGAACUAUCUGUAUUUUUAGAAUAAAUCCUGCAUUGUCCUGGUGAAAGAUUAAUUUUUAAUGUACUUUUAAAGUGUGUUGCCAAUAACUUAUUGUUUUAAAAAUAUUUCUAAGUGAAAGUGGUUCAAUUCUUUGUCUGGUCUUGCUCGGUUUCAUAGUUAUGUUAAUUUCAUGAAAAUUAAUUUAAUAGCUUUAUUUACAAACUCUAUGGUAGUUUGUGUAGCCUGAGAGAUAUCUAGUCUUUGAAAAUACAAAAGACUUUGCCAGCAAAACUGGUACCAAGCAUUCUUGUGGUAGUUUUUAAAUAUUAACUUUUUACUUGAGAUAAAACAUACAUAUGGUAAAGUGCACCAACCUAAAAUGUAUAGCUCAAUGAAAUUUUAGACAUAUACAGGCACACACACUCAUAUCUUCAUAACCACUACUCAAAUCAAGAUAGAAAUCAUUUCCAACACCCCAGUCAAAAUCCCACAAAACUAAUUACUAUCCUGACUAGAAAAUAAUUUUAUUCCCAUUUUUUUUUUCUCUUGUGAGUAGUUUCAGUGAAUACUUGUCCUUUUUGGCUACUGUAUUAGUUUGCUAAGUCUGCCAUAACAAAAUAGCACAGACUGGGUGGCUUAAGAAAUUUUUUUCUCACUAUUCUGGAAUCUAAGAUCAAGGUAUCAGCAGAUUUGGUUUCUUCUGAGGCUUCUCUCCUUGACUUGCAGAAGGCCACCUUCUUCUGUCUUCACCCGCUCUUUCCUCCAUGGGUGUACAUCCCCUGUGUCUCUGUGUAUUCAAAUUUUCUCCUCUUAAAAGGACACAAAUCAGAUUAGAUUAAUGCCCACCCCAAGGGCCUUAUUUUAACAUAACUGUGUGUGCAAGUUGCCAUAUCUAACACAUGACUGUGGAAGUAGCAGUUCCACGGGGACC